UACGUAGGCGGCAUCAUAAGUCGUGCGUGAAAGGCAGGGGCUCAACCUCUGGAGUGCGCGUGAUACUGUGAUGCUGGAGUAAUGGAGGGGGAACCGGAAUUCUUGGUGUAGCAGUGAAAUGCGUAGAUAUCAAGAAGAAGACUCGUGGCGAAGGCGGGUUCCUGGACAUUUACUGACGCUGAGGUACGAAGGCCAGGGUAGCGAAAG
rnacentral:rRNA from 1 species